UACCAGCCGGGGAAGUAGCGGAGCCUUGAACCUGAAAUCCGCUGUAGCAGGGGUGGAUCCCCCUUUUGAGGAUCGAACCUUUACGAAUGAGUCACUUUUUUCGUGUUGAGAGAUGGGUCUUGCGCAAUUCGGAGCCGUGAACCAUGUCAGGUGGGGAACCAAGCAGCAUUAAGCGGUCAACCGGAUGUGCCGCGAGGAAGCCUGUUUUGAGCGGAGAAUUUGAAGAUCGCGUGGGGGCGACAUUCGA
rnacentral:SRP_RNA from 1 species